UGGAGUUAAAAAAUUAGGAAGAAGUCAAAAUAAAAAACCGUCAUUUCCCGAUUCUCUCUCACUUUCCCCCACUUCUCUGCACACUUCAAUCGCCGCCGUAAUCGCCGCCGUAAUCGCCGCCGCUUUCUCUCUCUUCCGUCGCUCACAUUCCACUGGAAAUGGAAGCCAUACUUGUUAAUUCGGUCCAAAAUAGUUUGCAGAAUUUCAUGUACUCCAAUGCUAUUUUCAUCUGUGAACGUCUUUGUGCCGAGUCUCCUUCUGAGGUGAACUUGCAACUGUUGGCUACUUGUUACUUGCGGAACAAUCAAGCUUAUGUGGCAUAUCAUAUAUUGAAAGGCACACAAAUGGCUCAAUCCCGCUACCUGUUUGCUUUGUCAUGCUUUCUUAUGGCCUUGUCCGGGGAUUUACGUGAAAUGAAGACGGAUAAACUUUUAAAAGAAGCAGGAGACGCUUUGUCCCCUGGUAACGAGUCUGGUAUAGAGGUACCAAAUGGUGCAGCUGGGGAGUAUCUUCUUGGACGUAUCUACAGGUAUACUGGUCUAAAAGAGAGAGCUGUUUAUCACUUUGAUCUAGCAUUGUCCAUUGAUCCAUUGUUCUGGGCUGCAUAUGAGGAACUUUGUAUCUUGGGUUCGGCUAAAGAAGCAUCCGCAGUGUUCAGUGAUUCUGCUGCUCUUACCUUGCAGAAGCAGCAGCAUGCCAUCACUUCUCUGAACUCUCUAACUUCCACUGUGGACCACAAUCAAGUUUCUGCCAAGAGCUUCGGCAAUGCAAGCCUGGGCCAACUACAAAACAUUCAUGGUACUAAUGUAAAGGAUGCUUCUGAAAGUUGUCAAGGAGCAACAGCAUCUUCGUCAGCUGUCAAAGAACCUCUUAAUCACUUACGUUUGUCGUUUUACAAUACUCCUUCUCCAAUGGCCCCACAGCUGUCCGGUAUUGCUCCUCCACCUGUUUGUAGAAAUGUACAGAAAAAUGAUGCCUCAGCAAGCAGCUCCCCAAUGUCAAAUGUAACGACUUUUCAAGCCCCUCAAAGAAAGUCAGUGAAGGAUGUGAAGUUGAGAAAGAUAUCUGGAAGGUUAUUCACUGAUUCUGAUCCCAGACGAAGUAUGCAACUUGCAGGGAUAGCUGGAGGAAGCACCAACAGAACGACAACACCUUCAACUGGGAAUGAAACCAGUCAUUCCUUACAAAAUAGUGGAAAUUUUUGUUUGAGCAAUGCAAGAUUACGCUCUGUGACACUUCGCAAAAGAACCUCACAGGAAAGUGGAAGUUUUGAAGAAGGUGAUAAUCUUUCUUCUCCAGGAAUUGGCCAUGAGGUCUUUGAUGACUCUCUAGUAAAUACACAAGCAAGUAUUAGCACAACGUCUUCUUCUGAUAUGGGAUCUAUGGAGCAAGAUACAGGAUCUAUUGGUUUAUGUAGGAAUACUCAUCAUGAUCUUGAAGUCCAAAAGGGUGCGCUAGAAAUUUUAGGCCUUUGGAGACUCUUGGGGGACGGCUAUAGGCUUUCUUGCAUGUACGAGUGCCAGGAUGCAUUGAAGAUCUAUAUGGAUCUCCCUUCCAGACAUUAUAAUACAGGCUGGGUGCUUUCCCAGGUUGGGAGAGCAUAUUUUGAAUUAGUUGAUUAUGUAAAAGCUGAUUUUUUCUUCAGUUCUGCUCGACGCCAGUGCCCUUGCAGCUUAGAAGGAAUGGAUGUCUACUCCACUGUUCUCUAUCAUCUAAAGGACGAGAAGAGACUAAGUCACCUGGCUCUGGACCUGCUAUCAAUUGACCGUUUGGCUCCUCAAACAUGGUGUGCAAUGGGAAAUUGCUACAGCUUGCAAAAAGAUCAUGAAACAGCUUUGAAAAUUUUUCAGCGAGCUGUGCAGCUCAACUCAUGGUUUGCAUAUGCUCAUACUCUCUGUGGUCAUGAGCAUGUUGCUUUGGAGGACUUUGAGAAUGGAACCAAAAGCUAUCAAACUGCUUUUCAUGUUGAUUCACGACAUUACAAUGCGUCUUAUGGUCUUGGAAUGGUCUACCUUCGCAAAGAGAAUUUUGUGUUUGCUGAACAUCAUUUUCGAGUUGCAUUUAACAUUAACCCACAUUCUUCUGUGAUCAUGACAUAUCUUGGAACAGCUCUGCAUGCUCUAAAGAGAAAUGAGGAUGCAUUGACUAUGAUGGAGUAUGCUAUUUUAGCUGAUAAAAGGAAUCCUCUUCCCGUUUAUCAGAAGGCUAAUAUAUUGUCAAGUAUGGAUAACUAUGAUGAAGCUCUAAGGGUCCUGAAAGAGCUCAAGGAAUAUGCGCCUUGUGAAUGCAGUAUCUAUGCAUUGAUGGGUAAGAUCUAUGAGCGGAAGAACAUGUAUGAUAAGGCAAUGUUGCAUUUUGGACUUGCCUUAGACUUGAAGCCAUCAGCAACAGAUGUUGCCACCAUAAAGGCUGCCAUUGAAAAGUUGCAUGUACCAGACGACUUGGAUGAUAUCUUAUAGGUGGAGGGACCAGAGAAAGUUUCGGAAAUUGUUUCAAAUACGUUACAAGUCAGUAAACAUCUGGCCCCCGUAGUGCUCCUGAUUAAUCCUGCAUCAGAUGUACAAGACAAUAUAAAGGCUCACAAGGGUUGGCCAGAUUGCUCCAAUGCUAUACAUUGUCACAGUUUUGUAGUAUAAGACAAGUCAAGUGAAAGUGUCGUAAAUCACGGAUACGGAGAUCAGCCAUGAAUUUCACAUCUUCAAUCAUGUUGAUGAAAGGUGUAUAUCAGCUGUAGUGAUUUAGUUUGUUUCACUUAGAAAAAAGUUUCUAUAUUGUACUUUUAUCACCCUUCAAGUGGCAAGGUAUCAGAAGAGGGUUUGCAUUCUAGCCCGACCAAGUUUCGGAUGUAAUCUCUUUCGGGUUUACAAGUGGUCUAAAUUCAAGUGCUAGAUAAGUCGGUCUUUGCUUGCAGCCCAAAGUAUGAGUUUUAUGAAGAUGGAGUUUAUGUACAGGACCAACUGUGAUGCAAUAGUAUGUAGCUGAUGUUCUGCGGAGUUUUCUGCUUAUCAAAGGUCCCAUAUUUACGUUCUUUUCCAGGAAGCUAUAUCUAGAUAAGGUACUUGCGAGAUAACUAAUUACACCUCCGUAUUCUUGAUAGCGAGCCGGUCUUCGAGUUUUCCAGGAGAUAUGGAAGAAGCCAUUGCCAACUACUGGAGAUCGAGCCUGAAAAUUGGCUAAAAGUUUUUGAGAGGACAACUGCUAAACAAGAAAGAACAAGGUUCAAGUUCAAUAAUCUUUCAACAUUUGCAAUGGCUUCGUGUUCCAAGUUUCCUAAACAACCCAAGAUCCCUGAAACUACCGAAGAUAUGAUCAGCAGUAUGCCAACUGAAGUGACUGACAAAAUCAUGAAGCGCUUGCCACUAAAAAUGGCAGCUAAGAUGAGUGUGCUUUCAAGAAGAUGGAGACGUAAUUGGCUGUCUCAUAGGUACCUUGUCUUCGAUAAAGCUUUUUGUGAAGAACAUCAUAAAAAUGGAAAAGUUGAUUUGCAUAAGAUCAACAACAUCAUCAGCAAUAUACUCUUUCUGCACAAUGGUCCUAUGCAAGUAUUCCAUCUUUAUAUUCCACAAGAAUCAGAUAAUAAUAUAAGCCAUAAUCUCAGUCCAUGGCUUUUUUUUCUUUCGAUAGUCGGGGUCAAGAAGAUCUGUAUUCCUAACUGGAGUAAUCUUCUAACUAUCCCUUCUCAUAUAUAUGCAUGCAAAGAGUUGGUAAAAUUGAGGAUGGAGUAUUAUGUAGUAGGAAUCCCACCGUGUGAGUUUAAGGGAUUUGCUCAUCUUCGCAAUCUUGAGCUAGUCGACGUCGAAUUUAAGCAUGGAACAUUGAAGAGUUUGAUUGCAAGUUGUCCCCAACUUAAAGUGUUAGUUCUUGAGAAUAGUUCGACUGGCAUGAAUAAUGUCGUUAUAGAUGCGCCGAGGCUUGAAGCGUUAACUAUCCGAUGUGCAUUCAAGUCUCUUGCUUUGGAAAAUGUCCCUUGUGUUAAGAGUGUUAUAGUAUGUUUACACCAAACAGGAGAGGACUCUUCAAACAUAGAAACAGUUGAUGCCAUCAAGGUUCUUGCGAGUUCAACUGAGCUUCAAUGCCUUCAAUUUGAAGGCCAGAUGUGUAAGCGCUUGGCUGCAGCUUACAUCGCACAACCCUUUACUCUGGCAUUCAACCACCUGCAUAGGCUUUGUCUGACAGAACUUGACUUGUGGGACUUUGGUAUUAGUUUCACUUUUAGCAUGCUUCAAAGUUGUCCCUUCAUCAAGGAUCUUCAUAUAUCACUCGAUUCAAUCAAAAGCGGCGUUAAGCACAAAUUUGACUACAAUGAGGAUUAUAAACUAGGGCAUCUCCUUAAGGUUAGAAUUACAGGUAUUACAGGGUCAAGUGCAGAGUUCAAACUGAUUGAAUAUGUGCUCGCUACCUCAGUUGUCCUUGAGAAAUUGUUCUUCAAUUGUGCUUGUCUUGACCCUAGUUCAGAACUAAAGGUGUCGCGGGAGCUGUUGCAGUUGCCAAGAGCAUCGCCAAAGGCCAAACUUGUAUGUUUGGAGCAAUAGAGGAUUCUAGGAAUGGCCUUUUCAGUGGUGUUUUUUUUGGAGAUUAGCAUUGUUGUUUUCUUACAAUAUCUUCAAAUGGUUUAUGUUUUCUAUAAUUGAAUCCUUAAGCUUUUGGUAGCUGAUCUAGAGCUAAUUGACUUCUGACUUCAGAGUACUUCAAUUAAGAUGAACUUUGAUUA